GGACAAACAAACGGAAAACGGCCAGGAAAGGAAAUUUCCUGCAAAGAAGAGAGAGAGGAAAAAAAAACAUUAACCGCUAACUGGUGUGGUGGACUCCUCACUUCACUUUUGUCUAAAAAAUCCAGAUCCCUACUUUUAUCGGUUGUUCCUCUCUUCGAAAGCUGCAUUGAGAGAAGAGAAAGGGGGCAAGAAAAUAAAUAUAAGGUAAUGGGGCUAGAAAUUGUGGAGCCAAAUUCCUGCAUAAGAGGAUGCUGUACUAGCAAUUCAAUCCCACUUCACCUCCCUCCUUCUUCCUACACUCUCCUCUCUCCAAUUGCCAAAGGGGCUGAGAGUGUGGUUUAUGGAGCUGUUUUGGAUGGGAGAAAAGUUGCUGUUAAAAAACCAAUCUUGUCUACUUCUGAGGACAUUGAUAAGUUCCAUAAGGAGCUUCAACUCCUAUGCAAGCUAGAUCAUCCUGGAAUUGCCAAGCUGGUUGCAGCUCAUGCAAAGCCUCCAAAUUAUAUGUUCUUUUUUGAAUUCUAUGAAUCUGGUAAUCUUUCUGAGAAAUUACACGUGGAAGAAUGGAGUCCAAAUAUGGAUCAGGUGCUCAUGAUCACAGUCCAGCUGGCAAAGGCUUUGCAAUAUCUGCAUAACCACGAGAUUGUACAUAGGGAUGUGAAACCAGCAAAUAUUCUUCUUGAUGAAAACCUUUGUCCACACUUAGCAGAUUUUGGUUUGGCAGAAUACCAGAAAAAUCUCAAGGGAGUUUCUCUUGAGAACUGGAGAUCAUCCGGAAAGCCAACUGGUGGUUUCCAUAAAAAGAACAUGGUUGGCACACUCAUUUAUAUGGCUCCAGAAAUAUUGAGGAAGGAGAUACAUACUGAAAAAUCAGAUGUCUAUAGUUUCGGAAUAUCCAUCAAUGAGCUUCUUACUGGUGUCGUCCCAUAUACUGAUCUCCGUGCAGAAGCUCAGGCCCACACUGUCCUGGAGAUGAACUAUACUGAACAGCAACUUACAGCAUCUGUGGUGUCUGGUAAAUUACGACCUGCUCUUGCUGGUCUGGGUUCAGGUGCUUCAGCAAGCAUACUUUCAUUAAUACAGAGAUGUUGGGAUGACAAUCCUCAAAAUAGACCUUCUUUUACUGAUAUACUAUUGGAACUUGAUCCAAUCUUGGAGAGCAGAAAGAAAUCAAUUGGAAAAGAUUUUUCCCUUGACAAAUAUUCUAUUUCACAUGGAGAUCAGCCAGCAGAUAGUGCCAAGAAUCUUACAACGUACCAGGAGAUUAUUAACUGGUCCACUCAGGGUGAAAUUCUAUCAAAGGCUCCUCUUGCAGUAGAUUCCAGUUUAAGAAUUUGGCUUGAUUGUUCAAAUGUUGGUUUGGCUUAUCGUCCAAUACUUUCCUGGGGAUCCUUUGCCACAUGCGGUAAAAGGGAGACUAUGGAAGAUACCCACUUCCUUAUGCCCCACAUGUGCAACAAAAAGGAUAUCCAUGCUUUUGGUAUCUUUGAUGGUCAUAGAGGUGCAGCAGCUGCUGAGUUUUCAGCUCGAGCAUUACCUGGAUUUCUGCACAGUACUGGUUCUGCCAGCAGCCCCAGAAAUGCAUUAGUUGAAGCAUUUGUUAGUACAGAUGCUGCAUUCAGAAAUGAACUGGAUACUCAUCGUAAAUCUAGGAGAGUUGUUCAGAAAGACUGGCAUCCUGGCUGCACUGCCAUUGUUGCUUUAAUAGUUACAAACAAGCUUUUUGUUGCAAAUGCUGGUGAUUGCAAGACAAUUUUAUGUCGGGCUGGCAAAGCCUAUCCUCUAAAUUUUGAAAAAUCAGGAUCAUGUCGCAAGCUGUAUCGAGGAGAGGGAGCGUGUGCUUAGUGCUGGGGGACAAGUAAAAUGGCAAAUUGAUACUUGGAGGGUUGGACAUGCUGCACUCCAGGUCACUCGAUCCAUCGGUGAUGAUGAUCUGAAGCCUGCUGUAACUGCAGAACCUGAGAUAACCGAAACUGUACUGUCAGCGGAAGAUGAAUUCCUGGUGAUGGGCAGCGAUGGGCUUUGGGAUGUCAUGAGUAGUGCAGAUGUCAUAAGCAUAAUCAAAGACACCGUCAAAGAACCUGGUAUGUGCUCCAAGAGAUUGGCAACAGAAGCUGCAGAACGAGGCAGCAAAGACAACAUUACAGUCAUUGUUGUCUUCCUGCGCCCAGUAUCGACAGCUGAGAGAAUUUAUUAGGCAAACUGAAAAUUGUCGAUCACAAAUGGAUGCUGUCGAGACCUAAACAAGAUAAUGUAUGCUUUUACUCGGUCUUCAUUGCUUCAUGUAGUUUAUUCAUUCGUUUGUAUGAUAAUAAAUUAGUGUAUUAAUUUAUUUUCGUGAAGGCUUGUAAUUAUAAUUUGUAAGAAUGGAUCAUUGAUUGCUAAUCACCUGGACAACAGCGGGCGAUUGGCAAAUCUAAAUUUAAACUACAAGCCCCAUCUCCUGAUUUUCGAUAA